AUUGGUAACUAAUUUUUCCAACUACCUCUACCGAAACUAUAGUUUUCUUGACCUGAUUGUAGGGAGCGUCGUACUUUUCCUCCCUAGGGAGUAAAAUUAAAAGGGACGUCAUGAGCUGCAGCCAACAAAGUUAAGAGUGCUGUGAUCGUAGCCAACUUUCGAUAGGAGGCAGUAAUGCAAGAAGAAGAUCCGUCCUCUUUGUCUUCUUUCAAGAACGUUUCAUUAAUUUAUUUAUCUUCUAUUAAUAAUCUCUCUAAAUUAUAGUCACUUCUGCUAACCACUUGACCAAAGAAUUGUAGAAUUCAGUACAGAGAUAUUGUGGGCAGCCUUUUUUACUUUAUCGUACUAUAUACGUAGUAUAGUAUAAUAGAUAAAGUUAUAGGAUCGUGCAAAAACAAAUUUUUAGAUUUCACUUUUUUUCGACGUUUUGAGUCCCUCUGAGUCUAAAAAGCAAAUAAAAAAACAUGUCGGAAGUAUGUACGUACGUACGUAUGUACGUACGUACGUAUGUACGUAAUACGUAUGUCACCACCGCCCAGCAAAAACUACCGGACCGAUUUUGAUGAAAUUCGGUAUAAGUAAGUUUAAGAGUUUUUGCAUUUUUGCAAGUUUUGACCGAAAUGAAUGAAAUUCGACUCAAAGUAAGCUCAUCGAUAGAUAAAUAAAAAUACGGAAUUUGACAUUUCCAAAUUCAAAAUGGCGGCCAACAUGGCCGACCGCCCACCCGACACAUUUCCCUACCUAUCUAAAAAUUUGUUUAAGAUAAGUUUAAUUUUCAAAAGUCGUUAUAUAGCCAAAGGAUGGGGCUAUAAGAAGGAUGUUAUUGUUUUUCAGAAAAUGUUACGGGUUGCCUAUAUUUAAGGGGUCAAAAUUUGACAUAAAUUUGAACUACAUUUUCUCAAAAAAGGCUCAAAGGAUUUUUUUUUAUUUUUUGACAUGUUUUUGAUAUACUAUCGGUGAAUGGAAUAACAUUAGCUAGAUUUCUUAACUCCCCAUAGGAGGGGAGUUAUGAAUUUUUUAUUAAAAAAUAUUCGAGUGCCCGUAACUUUCUUCUUAAUAGAAACUAAAAUUUGAAAUUUUGCAGACGUAUACGGUACUUUAUUAUCUAUUAUCACAAUAAAUUUUACCAAAAAUAUGGCUUCCGGUUGAACCGGAAAUGAAUAAAAAAUUUUAAUUUUGUAGAUACGCUCUAUAUAUUUUUACAUACUUUAAAAGAAUGCAAAAUUACCUUUCCAAUGACAUAAAAUUCAUUGCUAUAGCUCAAAAACUCGAAAAGUUACGGCAAAUAAAAUUUUGCUAUAAUCUUAUGUGUGUCCUCUCUCAAACGAUCAUAGCAGAGCAUUAUUGUAGGGCAGUCAAUGAGGGUAUUUGGCUCCGAAUUCCAUCCUACUACAUUGAUAUACUUGAUAUUUUCACAGUAAGUAGGGAAUAGCUCAAGAAACAAAAUCUACCCUAUAUACUAUGGAACUUUUAUCUUGGGGGGGUUCCCACUUCUUCAAGGGGGUGGAAAAUUUGUUGGUCAAAAUAAGCACGGAAGUGGCUAAAGAACCUAUUUCUAAGCAAAAACUGGUUUAUACUUUUUUUUUUGAGAACUCAAUACUUUUUGAGUUAUGCGUAGUUCAAAAUUGGCCAUUUUCAUUGAAAAAUGACACCUUUUCGGACGGAUUUUUUGUGAAUACCUUAAAAACUAUGCAUCGAACUAAAAACACUAUAUAUAGUAUGGUAUAGUUAGACCCAAACCCAGACGUCCAAAGUGAAAGUUAUCCUCCAAUACCAAAUUGUUCUAUAUGGUCCACAUAAUGUUCAGAAAAAAGUCACACCAUUUUGAGCGUCGGGUUUGGGGGGGAGAGGGUGGAGAAAUCUGCAAAUUCGUAGUUUUUUAUGUUUUUCGUUAAUAUUUCUAAAACUAAGCGGUUUAGCAUGAACAACCCUCUACACAAAAUUGUUCUACAUUAAAUUUGAAAUAAAAAAGGUCCUAUGCAUAACCCUUCUAAAAUGAACGGUUCCAGAGUUACGGAGGUAGUAUAGUAUAAUUGGUCCAAAAAAGGCCUAACCCAGACACCCAAAGUAAAAGUUUUCCUUCAACACCAAAUUGUUCUAUAUGGUCCACAUAUUGUUCAGUAAAAAGUUAGAUUAUUUUGAGCGUCCGGUUUGGGGGGGAGAUGGGGGAGAAGUCGGUAAAUUAGUAGUUUUUUUAAGUUUUUCGUCAAUAUUUCUAAAACUAUACUUUAGCGUAAGGAAUGUUCUAUAAAAAAAUGUUCUACAUAAAAUUUGAAACAAAAAAGGUUCUAUACAUAAUUGUUAUAAAAUCAACGGUUCCAGAGUUACGGAGGGUGAAAAGUGGAGGCUUUCGAUACUUUUUAUAUUUACCGAUUUCUCCCUCCUCUCCUCCCCAAACCCGACGCUCAAAAUGGUGUGACUUUUUUUUGAAUAUUAUGUGGACCAUAUAGAACAAUUUGGUGUUGGAGGAUAACUUUCACUUUGGAUGUCUGGGUUUUUGGUAUAGUUAUAUCAUAAAUAUUGCCCAAAAAAUAUUAAAAGUAUCGAAACCUUCGUCAUUUCACCCUCCGUAACUCUGGAACCGUUGAUUUUAUAACAAUUCUGUAUAAAACAUUUUUUGUUCUAAAUUUCCCGUAGAUCAUUUUUGUUUAUAACAUUGUUUGCGCUAAAGCAUAGUUUUAGAAAUAUUGACGAAAAACGAAAAAAAAAAACUACUAAUUUACCGGCUUCUCUCCCAUCUCCCUCCCAAACCGGACGCUCAAAAUGGUGUAACUUUUUACUGAACAAUAUGUGGACCAUAUAGAACAUUUUGGUGUUGGAGGAAAACUUUUACUUUGUAUGUUUGGGUUAGGUCUUUUUUUGGACCAGUUAUACAAUACUACCUCCGUAACUUUGGAACCAUUCAUUUUAGAAAGAUUAUGCAUAGGGCCUUUUUUUUCCAAAUUCAAUGUAGAACAAUUUUGUAUAGAGGGUUGUUCAUGCUAAACAGCAUAGUUUUAGAAAUAUUGGCGAAAAACUUCAAAAAACUACGAAUUUACCGAUUUCUCCCCCCUCUCCCCCCCAAACCCGACGCUCAAAAUGGUGUGACUUUUUUCUGGACAUUCUGUGGACCAUAUAGAACAAUUUGGUGUUGAAGGAUAACUUUCACUUAGGAUGUCUGGGUUAUGCCAUCUUUUGGAUCAACUAUACUAUACUAAUAAAACAUUUUUUAGAUUAUAAAUAAUAAAGAGAUUCGUUUCUUCGUAAAUGUUCUAUUUAUAAUACAAAAAGAGAUACGGUAGGUGAAAAUAGUUUGUUUUUUGGUGCAUGCUCAAAUUGGUGUAUUCAACUUGAAAUAACAGAGGAACGGUAGGUUUUAGGUGUAUAAUACUACCAACACCUUUUGUAGUGUUUGAAAAGGCCUUUAAAACGAGCACCGGUAAAUGUCGGUUACACACAAAUUAAGCGAGAUAUGGUGCAAAAAAUAUAUGACUAAUGUACUUUAAGGAAAAAUGAAAAGUAUAUACAUUUAACUCUCCAUUGACCAUAAUUUAAAUGCAUUUUUUUUUCUUUUACAAUACCUUUUAACCCUGCUGUCCUGUUCGGGUCUAUUUGACCCAAAAAAUAAUUUAUUUCUUAUUUUACAAAUUAUUACGCGGCGUAACGAUUUGGUGUUUCGUGACUUUAUUACCUAAUAUGAGGUCUUUCAAUUGCAUAUGAGAUAAACAAUCAACUUCCUGAUUUUUUUGAUAAAAAUGAAAUUGUUACCUAUGGUACGUUCGGGUCAAUGUGACCCGAGUAUUUAAACCGUUAAAAAUUACUUGUGUAUGUGUGUUUAGUUGGCAGUAUUCUAUAUUAGCAGUACCUGUGUGUUUGUCAGCCGCAUACGUCUGUAAAUAAAAACAGGUUACUGCAAGCUAAAACUUGUAAAAUCAACUGUAGUGUAGCUGGACGAUGUUGCAAACCAAAUUAUAAAUAUGACCAACAUGGACAGACAGCAUGUAUUUGGAACCAACUGGAAAGACAUAAAUAAAGUUGGUUUCCAAGCAUACAUUGGUUUUUUAUUUUUAGCUCGAGUUUAUAAGUCCCAUGGUGAAUCAACUAAAAGUUUAUGGAAUGAAGAAACGGGUCGUACUAUAUUUAGAUCAACAAUGUCGCUUGAUCUAUUUACAGAAAGUUUGCCAGUAAUACGUUUUGAUAACAAAACUACUAGACAGGAUAGAAGACGUUUUGAUAAACUUGCGGCAAUACGUGAAAUUUAUGAAACAUGGGUAGACAAUGUAAACAGAACUUUUAACCCUGAUAAAAAUGUUACCGUCGAUAAGCAACUAGUUGCCUUUAGAGGCAACCGCUCUCCCUUCAAAUGGUAUAUUCCAGCAAGCCAGCGAAAUAUGGCACAAAACUUUAGAGUUUAUGUAAUUAUGAACAGUAAAACUUCUUAUGCUCUAAAAUUGAAGAUCUAUACAGAAAUGCGUGUGAUGUGUGACUUGAGUAGUGAUUUGAAAUGCCACAAUAUUACGUGUAUAAUAAUUUUUUUUCAUCGUAAAAUUUGGGAAAAUUUCUUCUAAAACAAAGUAGAUACAACGCCUGGGAUUAUAAGUAAAAUAAACCGGAGCUUUCAGCAAAAAUCGCGAAUAGAGAAGUUCAUAGCUCGUCUUUUUUGCUUCAUGCAAGAUUUGACAAUAUUCCCAAAAAUAAUAAAAAUGUUGUUCUUAUGAGUACUUUGCAUCAUGAAUCGAGGCAUCAUGCAUCAUUUUCAUCAAAUGAAAAAGCCCCAAAUUAUUUUAGAUUACAAUUCCAAUAAGGGAGCAAUGGAUACUCUAGAUUAGCUUGUUGGCACGUAUAUAUGUGAGAAGAGAUAAAUCGCUGGCCAAUGAUUGUUUUUUAUAAUCUACUGGACAUUUCUGCCUACAACGCGUUCGUAUUAUGGGCAUCAAUAAAUAUCCAAUGGAAUACCAAUCAAUUGGGAAAACGGCGAAUUUUUCUUGAGGAAUUGGGAAAAAACUAAUGAAUCUAGUCAUCAUUUCCAGAAAAAAUAUACCAAUAACUAAAGGCUCUUACGAACUGGCAAAAAGGACACGAGAAUGAACAAGUAGACAAGAUGGAAAUGCUAGUGAACCGUCUAUUAAAUCUAACUCCGCCUGCUAAACGAACACGCUGUAAACUUGCCGUAAAAACGAUGACAAGACAAAUUGUUAUAUUGGAUUACAUCACAAACAUAUUUGUAAAAUCCAUUCUUUUUAUUAAUGUCCCAGUUGUAAACUGAAUUAAAUUUUUGUAGAUAUUUGUUACUAGGCUUUUUUGAAAGAAAAAAUGUCUUUUGUUUUUGUUAAGAAGGUUUAAGUUACAUUAAUAACAUAAUUUUUGUUUAGUUAACCAUAAUUUAUUGUUAGUAAAGUUUUAUUUAUCACCAUUAGCUUAUUUUAUUUCGAUUAAGGAGCGUAAACCAUAGUUGGGUCAUAUUGACCCGAACAGUACAUUUGUGUAGUUGACUCGAACGGGACAGCAGGGUUAAUAUAGUGUUAUUUCUAGUUUCAAAAAGUUGAACGAGUUUAAAAUGAAUGGUUUUUGUAAAAAAUGUGAUCAAAUUAUAGAAUGAAUUUUUAAAUUUUCUUAAAAGUCUUUCUUUUUCUCCAUGUAAUUCGAAAAUAAAAAUAUUUCACCCCUGAGAAGUGGUGGGAACCGCCCCCAUGAUAAAAGCGCCAUAGUAUAUAGGAGAGACUUUGAAUUAUGAGAUUGGGCUACUCCCAAAAUUUCAUUAAAAUCCAUGCAGUAGGAUAGAAUUCGGAGAUAAUAUCUUGUUCUUAAUCUCGCGCAUUGACUGGCGUAAUCGAAAUAGAAUGAAAUGCAAAUACUGUAAACUAUUAAUUUCUCAGAAAAAUGAACUAAUUUGAAAUGAAAGUAUGACUAUAAUAUUCUAUUAAUUUAUGCAAUAAUCUGUAUAUCUACAGGGUGAGGCAAAUAAAGGGCCUAUUAGAAAUAUCUCGAGGACUAAAGGCAACAGAAUUAUGAAAAUUGGAAUAAAGCGGUUUUGAAGGAUUAUCUAUCAAAUGAAAAUAUUUUCAUCUCUUUGCAACUUCCGGUUAUACCGGAAGUUGCUUAUGACUUCUUUUUUUUAAUGGGACACCCUUUAUAUACAUUUUUGGAUUCUCUUCGAUGUUUACUUUCUUAAAAUAUGAGGUUUUGUAAUAUUAUACAGGGUAUAUUAAAAGAUAAUUACGUUUUUUAUUAAUUUCGUAGCAAAAUUAACAACCUGUAGAAUUGUAGAAGUUUUACAUCUAAAACUCUACUUACGUUCAAAUGAUUUUUAAUAUACUCUACUAUUGUUAAGAAACAUUAGUGUAGCCAAAUUUUUAAUUUUAGUAUACAGGGUUGGUCGAAACUCGGAAUGAGUAUUUUCUGAGUUUUCUUAAAUGUAACACCCUGUAUUUUAGUAUUGUAAUGAAAUGAUAUUUUAUGGUA
rnacentral:lncRNA from 1 species